AGAGUUUGAUCAUGGCUCAGGACGAACGCUAGCGGCAGGCCUAACACAUGCAAGUCGAACGGUAAGGUCCCUUCGGGGAUACACGAGUGGCGCACGGGUGCGUAACGCGUAUGCAACCUACCCUUAAGAGAGGGAUAGUCGCGGGAAACUGCGAAUAAUACCUCAUGUUAUUACGAAAUGGCAUCGUUUUGUAAUCAAAGCUCCGGCGCUUAAGGAUGGGCAUGCGUAGCAUUAGCUAGUUGGUGAGGUAAUGGCUCACCAAGGCAACGAUGUUUAGCUGGUCUGAGAGGAUGAUCAGCCACACGGGCACUGAGACACGGGCCCGACUCCUACGGGAGGCAGCAGUGAGGAAUAUUGGGCAAUGGGGGCAACCCUGACCCAGCCAUGCCGCGUGAAGGAAGACGGCCCUCUGGGUUGUAAACUUCUUUUAUCAGGGGAUAAUUGUGCUCUAUACGAGCGCUUGUAGGUACCUGAUGAAUAAGCGCCGGCUAACUACGUGCCAGCAGCCGCGGUAAUACGUAGGGCGCAAGCGUUGUCCGGAUUUAUUGGGUUUAAAGGGUGCGCAGGCGGAUUGAUAAGUUAGUGGUGAAAGCGUCCGGCUUAACCGGAUACCCGCCAUUGAUACUGUCAGUCUUGAGUGCGGAUGAGGAGGUUGGAAUGCGUGGUGUAGCGGUGAAAUGCAUAGAUAUCACGCAGAACGCC
rnacentral:rRNA from 1 species